UCCUCCUCCCUCCUCUUCAGUUCUCUGUCUCUCUCUCGAAUCCUUCGUGGGGACUGUUGACUGACUUGUAGAAAAGUCAUUUGGAAUUUGAAUACCAAUUUCGUAUUUAACCUCUGCCGCUUCCUAUAGGGUCAAUUGUCAGAAAGAUUAUGUCAUUAAAACUUAAGGCCAGCUCUUCUAUAAAAGGGUUCAUAGCUACAGAAGGGAUGUACCAUGAUGCUGUAAAAUGUGCCACCAUCUAUAAAGAUAAACACAAAUACAUUAAGUGAAGAAUAUAUCAAAAUCAACAUUAAGUGAAGAAUACAUCAAAAUCAAAUAAAACAAAAAAUACCAACAAAAAAAUGAAAAUCAAAUUGGUUUUACAUCACGCAUUUGUCAUAAAUAAUAAUGAAACGAAAUUUGAGGCUUGGAAUCAGAAUUGAGACCCAUAUUUAGUCAAAACCUAUACUGACACAAUCAAAUUCUGAUUCCAGACAUUUGGAUUCAGAAUUCCCAAAUAUACCCUUUACACAGUUUAUAAAAGCAAGCUAAAAGACCCUGAUAAAAAAUCAGUUUUUGCAACACAUUAUGAUCAGAUCAAAGUGAGUCUGAACAAGAAACUGUCUCUAUAAACAAAAGAUUUAAAAAAAAAGUUGCAAGCUUUAGGGUUUAAUUGAAUAGGAAGUGGCAGAGGUUAAAUAGGAAAUUGGUAUUCAAAUUCCAAAUGACUUUUCUCCAAGUCAGUCAAUAGUAGAGAGAGGGAUUCGAGAUCGAGAUGGAGAGAGAGAGAGAGAGAGAGAGAACUGAAGAGGAGAGAGGAGGAGGGGGGAAAUGUGGUGAUUAGGGUUUUAGGAUUAGGGAAGAUGAGGUGUGUAUUAAAAAUUAAAGAGUAAAUGGUCCCUGUGGUUUGGGCACUUUUGUCAUUUUAGUGCAAAUCUCAAACUUUCUAAAUCUGGGUCCCUGUGGUUUCACAUUUAUUGUCAUUUUAGUCCAAAAAUGAAAUCAAGUCAUAUUUCUCAAAUUUAAUCCUCCUAUUUUGUCAUUUUCCUCAGGGGCAAUAUGAUCAUUUUGUUUUUUAUAAAAAAAAGUUAAAGAUUAUAUUUCUCAAAUUUAAUCCUCCUAUCUUUUGUUUCGUUUCGACAGCCGCAAUUCUCAUAUGAACACCCCUAAAUUCUUCAUUGCAAAACUCUAAUUUGACGUUUACGUACACAAUUAAGUAACUCUCAAAAUAUUGGCUUCUGAUUCUGAACUUGACCCGUUUGAGAGGUUACUGGAUGUUCUUUUACUGUGUAACUGGGUUGAAGUGGGUAAUUGAAAUGUAGAGAUUAAAGGGAGUGAAGAGAUCUGGUGAAGAUUGUUGUUUGG
rnacentral:lncRNA from 1 species